AUUAAGAGCUGAACUGAACUGAAAUGAAAUCUUUACCCCUUAAAAAGUCCCAAGCACCAGGACUGUAGUGAGUUUUAUUGUUCCUUAGGAACAACGGAUUGACGCCCUUGCCCUUAGCCCCUGAACUGGAUUGCCUAAAUUUCCAGGGCUAUUUUAGUCUUUGUGUAUUAGCAUGCUAUCUGUCAUAUGUCGGCUGACGCGUGUCCUUGUCUCCCCUGCUAUUAGCAUCUUUGCCUUUCAUCUUCUUCAUUUCAUUUUAAUCUUCUUCCUUUCGUUCUUUGUUAGGUAUUGUCUUUGCUUUAGGCUUUUUUUUCUUUCCUUUUUUUGUUGUUGUUGUUUUCCUUAUAACUUCUUUGGUUUUUGCAGCUGUUAUUCAUGGAGUGGUUUGAUGGAGUUUCUUUGGUCGCAGCUUUGGAUUUGGUUGUUUCACAGUGUGAGGUUUUUGCAACUGGAGCUAUUUGUGCUGUUACAAUUACUUACUUCUAUUAUUGGUUAUGGCUAUUCAGUCCAACAGAAUUGCCAUUCCAUUUCGACCUCUUUUAGGUCAAAUGGUUGAUUUUUCUGAACCUGUUUAUGAUUUCAUAGACAAGGCUAGGAACAAUGCCUGUGUUCGUGUUAAGACUGAGAAUGGCAAAUCUGAAUUUGUGUUCUUUGGUGGGGAAGCCAAUGCAGUUCAUGAGUCACAAGAAAGGGCAGCUCAAAAAGCUGUGCAGAAAUUGAUGAGCCAUUUUGGGGUGCGAGUGAGUGAUUUUACCUCUGAUAGAGCAAGAAUGUAUCAGCUAUGCAGCAAGCUUUAUAAACAUAAGGUUGCUGAGUUAUGUUCUGAGAAAGGAUUAGAAGUGCCUAGCUAAUUCACAGAGCAAUUUAGGCAAGAAAUCUUCUGAUGAAGUUCUUCAUGUAACGAUUGACUUUGUAGGUUUCUUAGGUGUUAUUGUUACACAAACAGGUGCAGAUGUAAGUCCAUUAGAGACUAUUUGGGUGAAAGGCUUGGGCUUUGUAGCUUGGUUAACAGUGACUUGUCUGCAUAGUAGAGGUGAAUUGGAGUGCAUAUAUAGUGAUGCUUGUCCUGAAAUAAAUAGUGCUAUGCAGAAGGCUGCUAAGAGAGCUAUACAUUACUUGGUGACUAGAUACAACCUAGAAAUUGUUGAUGCUAAUUACGGUGUUUCUUUGGAGAAGAGCGCUGCUUGUAGUGCUUUAAAAGAAAGAUUUUAUCAAUUAAAGAGGUGCUUAGCUGCGAGGGAAGAAAUGUUUGCUGAUGAUGAAUGUUUGACUCCUAAUUCUAAAAGAAAUCAGAUACCCAAGAUUAGUUUGCCUCCAGCUGCUCCAAUCAGAAGACGCUCAACAACACCAUUAAGUGCUGCAUCUUCUUCUCGCACUGAGCCUUUGGUUUAUGGGAUACCUGAAUUAGAGACUGUUUGGAAGCGUGCAAAGUUUGUUUAGCUUGUUUGUAGUCUUCAUCUAAUAUUUUGGACGGCAUGACCUUUAUUGAAUUACCUGAUCUAGGUUUACUAUGGACAAAUGCCUGUUAUUAUCUAGGAUGUUAUUUCUUCUUUUGGUUUUUAAGUUAGGUCUGUUUGUAGUGCUUGUAGAAGUAUUUCAGCAACAAACUAUCCUUGUAUGUUGAGCUGAAAUACAUUGUAAUGCGUAUUUUCAAUAUAAUGUAAUGUAAUUCUAUUUUGAAUAUAAUUAUUCAGGAAAAUCUUAUAACUUGGUCAUUGAUUGUUUAUUUUU